rnacentral:rRNA from 1 species
GAUGAACGCUGGCGGCGUGCUUAACACAUGCAAGUCGAACGAUGAAGCCCAGCUUGCUGGGUGGAUUAGUGGCGAACGGGUGAGUAACACGUGAGUAACCUGCCCUUGACUCUGGGAUAAGCCUGGGAAACUGGGGCUAAUACUGGAUAUGACUUCUCAUCGCAUGGUGGGGGGGGGAAAGAUUUAUUGGUCUUGGAUGGACUCGCGGCCUAUCAGCUUGUUGGUGAGGUAAUGGCUCACCAAGGCGACGAUGGGUGGCCGGCCUGAGAGGGUGACCGGCCACACUGGGACUGAGACACGGCCCAGACUCCUACGGGAGGCAGCAGUGGGGAAUAUUGCACAAUGGGCGCAAGCCUGAUGCAGCGACGCCGCGUGAGGGAUGACGGCCUUCGGGUUGUAAACCUCUUUCAGUAGGGAAGAAGCGAGAGUGACGGUACCUGCAGAAGAAGCGCCGGCUAACUACGUG